rnacentral:lncRNA from 1 species
GUACGAUGCCACUUUUAUGCAGACCGUCUUGUGGGAGUUCCACGUAAGUUAAGCAUAUAAUCACCACAUAGUUGUAUUGGGAUGAUGAAAUCAAUUGUUCUUAAUUUUAAAUAAUCUUUUGUUAUAGGUUUAUUAUCGAUUUGACCCGAGCAUCUCUCAGUCAGCUGGCGAUGCUAUGAUGGAGCAUCACGUCGCUGCGAAUUACUCUGGAUGGCUAUAUGAGAUGCGACAGAAGGCAGCCCGGGCAGUUGUGGACCAGCCCGAGACCACCAUCAGAGAUCAUCAGCCCCGCAUAGUCUCCGAUUUAGCCUGGGAGGCUAUGUGUGCGCACUGGGAGGCUGAUAACUUCAAGAAAAAGUUCGAGCAGG